rnacentral:rRNA from 1 species
UACGUAGGGAGCAAGCGUUGUCCGGAAUCAUUGGGCGUAAAGCGCGCGUAGGUGGCCUCAUAAGUCCGCUGUGAAAGUCAAAGGCUCAACCUUUGAAAGCCGGUGGAUACUGUGAGGCUAGAGUACGGAAGAGGCGAGUGGAAUUCCUGGUGUAGCGGUGGAAUGCGCAGAUAUCAGGAGGAACACCAAUAGCGAAGGCAGCUCGCUGGGACGUUACUGACACUGAGGCGCGAAAGCGUGGGGAGCGAACAGGAUUAGAUACCCUGGUAGUCCACGCCGUAAACGAUGGGUACUAGGUGUGGGAGGUGUCGACUCCUCCCGUGCCGUCGCUAACGCACUAAGUACCCCGCCUGGGGAGUACGGCCGCAAGGCUAAA